CUUGGCAAGGCACUGACAAAGGGCAGCAAGACCAGUGUGAGCCUUGGAGGGGGCUGGGACCAGGGCACACCAGGUGCCAGGACAUCCUGGGAGUGCUGGCUCAGGGACAGCAGUUCAGGAGGACUGACUGUGCCACCUCACUGGUCUUACGGGGAAACAUCACAUGGAGAUAAGUCCAGGUGCCCCAGGAGCAACUGAGCCUGCAGUUGUGAAGCUUUUUCUUCUUUUCUGAGAAAGCCUUCACUCCCUUCAGCUUCCUCAUGAGGCAAAGUGCAGCAGACACCCACCACACCUCCCUGCUUUGUCCUGCACUCUGGCUGUUUUGCCAGGUGCAGACCCAGGAUGUACUCAUGAGUGAUUUUCAGGUUGCUGUCUUAGGAACUGGGUGAAUAUCAGAACAAAUUCCAAGAAAACCUGGACAAUGCACAGGGGCCACCAGCCUUGUGAGCAGACACCGACACUUGCAGUGGAUGUAAUCAAGAGUAAAUUUUUAAAACUAAUAAAUGUCUAAAUGAAUACAA